CAGGUUUAUAACACUGCCAGAGACCAUGCUUUGUUAUGGGUAAUAUGUACAAGGCAAUUAUUUAUAGGCAGUUAGAUGAGAGAUCCUGUAAGUGUAUUCUCUGUUCGGUCUUCCUUAACCUUAUUAUUUUCUUUCUCUCUGUACUGUUUAUAUUUUAACUCUGUAAAUGUAUCUUCAGAAAGAAAAGGAAAGAAAGAAAGAAAUGAAGGGAGGAAGGGAGGAAGGAAGGGAGGAAGGGAGGAAGGGAGGAAGGGAGGAAGGGAGGAAGGAAGGAAGGAAGGAAGGAAGGAAGGAAGGAAGGAAGGAAGGAAGGAAGGAAGGAAGGAAGGAAGGAAGGAAGGAAGGAAGGAAGGAAGGAAGGAAGGAAGGAAGGGAAAGAAAAAAAACAAAGAAAAAAAGAAAGAAAAAACAUGGAAAGCACUUCAGGUGACAUCUUCCAUGGAGGACCCCUGUUCUUCAAGAUAGGAGAGAAUACUUCUUGAUCCACUAUAUAUGACAGAAUGGCCACAAACAACUGUAAUACAAUACAUCUUCUGUACAACAGGCUGUCACUGAUGCAGCCUGGACUUGAGGCUUCCAGGGAUGGGACAUCCACAGCUUUUCUCAGAAACUCUCAUCAUGAAAAAAUUAUUUUUUCUAAAGACAUGUAUCUGUCUUUACCAUGUGCUCAUACUUUUAGGUAAA
ensembl:lncRNA